rnacentral:lncRNA from 1 species
AAAUAUCCUCAUACAAUAAGUUUGAGAGAAUGCUUGGGGCCUGGUACAAAAUUCCCCUAAAAUCAAGCACCCCCACAUUUCUAGAGAGCCUAUGUGCUACCUUGUUAGACUCUCUAGAGAUGUGCCGGAAUUGAACAUUAAAAAUCUUACCACUCCUAUUGGCAAUCUCCUCUACUAUUGACAAAAUUCUCCAUGGAGUUUGGUCUUUGUGGCUAGCCAAGGAGCUAAUAACCACUAACGCAUCGAAUUCGAAGAAUAUACUCUGCCAUGAAAUGCCCUCUACAAAUCUUACCGCCUCCCUAAGAGCUUCCGCUUCUUCAGCCACCACCGCCGAUCUGCAGCAAAAUUCCUUACAUCCUGCAAAAAUCAAUGAACCUCUCGCGUCUCUACACACAAAGGCUGCUUUCCCUAUACCGUUGCUUUGGUGGAAAGAAGCGUCACAAUUUAUUUUGUAGAGUCCAUCUGGGGGGACCUCCCAUGCCGCUGCACCCUUUUGAUUUUGUGAACCUUCAUUUUGAGGUUUGGCCGGCCACAAUAACGGAUCCAGCUCGACCACUUUCUACAAGCUUGUUGCAGUUGUUAUUAUGGGCAAAUUAAAUAACAUGUGCCCGGGCUUUAUAGCUGCAGUGUGUCCAAGAGGGAAGCUUGAGAUCAAGAAAGAUGACCUUUAAUAAAAAGUCAUGUUCUUUGCAAUGCGGCAAUAAUGAAACAAGUGAGAAGCCUCUUUCCAACUGUUGCUCAAUACAAACUGUUAUUUGUUAGUAUGAUUUAUUAUAGCAUAUUGACUACUAUGUAUGAAAGAAAUUUUAUAACAUGCCACCUAAAUUCUGGUUUUUGGAUUCUUGUCCUAACAAAUAAAAUAAAAGACUCAUCCAGGUUUUCCAUUUUUGCUGCAAAUUAAAGAAGAAAUUUACUACUCUUUUGGCUGAGUACUCUGUGUGCUCUCAGUUAGUUCAUCCUUUCAUACUUUUCAUAUAUUUCCCAGUUUCAGUUUGUAG